GAUGAAGAACGUAGCGAAAUGCGAUACGUAAUGUGAAUUGCAAAUUCAGUGAAUCAUCGAAUCUUUGAACGCACAUUGCGCCCGCCAGUAUUCUGGCGGUCAUGCCUGUUCGAGCGUCAUUACAACCCUCAGGCCCCCGGGCCUGGCGUUGGGGAUCGGCGGAGCCCCCCGUGGGCACACGCCGUCCCCCAAAUACAGUGGCGGUCCCGCCGCAGCUUCCAUCGCGUAGUAGCUAACACCUCGCGACUGGAGAGCGGCGCGGCCACGCCGUAAAACACCCAACUCUUCUGAAGUUGACCUCGAAUCAGGUAGGAAUACCCGCUGAACUUAAGCAUAUCAAUAAGCGGAGGA
rnacentral:misc_RNA from 1 species